rnacentral:rRNA from 1 species
AGAGUUCGAUCCUGGCUCAGAUUAACGCUGGCGGCAUGCCUUACACAUGCAAGUCGAACGGUAACGCGGGGCAACCUGGCGACGAGUGGCGAACGGGUGAGUAAUAUAUCGGAACGUGCCCAGUAGUGGGGGAUAGCCCGGCGAAAGCCGAAUUAAUACCGCAUACGACCUACGGGUGAAAGGGGGGGAUCGCAAGACCUCUCGCUAUUGGAGCGGCCGAUAUCAGAUUAGGUAGUUGGCGGGGUAAAGCCCACCAAGCCAACGAUCUGUAGCAGGUCUGAGAGGACGACCAGCCACACUGGGACUGAGACACGGCCCAGACUCCUACGGGAGGCAGCAGUGGGGAAUUUUGGACAAUGGGCGCAAGCCUGAUCCAGCCAUGCCGCGUGCGGGAAGAAGGCCUUCGGGUUGUAAACCGCUUUUGUCAGGGAAGAAAUCCCUUGAGCUAAUACCUCGGGGGGAUGACGGUACCUGAAGAAUAAGCACCGGCUAACUACGUGCCAGCAGCCGCGGUAAUACGUAGGGUGCAAGCGUUAAUCGGAAUUACUGGGCGUAAAGCGUGCGCAGGCGGUCGUGCAAGACAGAUGUGAAAUCCCCGGGCUCAACCUGGGAACUGCAUUUGUGACUGCACGGCUAGAGUACGGUAGAGGGGGAUGGAAUUCCGCGUGUAGCAGUGAAAUGCGUAGAUAUGCGGAGGAACACCGAUUGCGAAGGCAAUCCCCUGGACCUGUACUGACGCUCAUGCACGAAAGCGUGGGGAGCAAACAGGAUUAGAUACCCUGGUAGUCCACGCCCUAAACGAUGUCAACUGGUUGUUGGGAGGGUUCCUUCUCAGUAACGAAGCUAACGCGUGAAGUUGACCGCCUGGGGAGUACGGCCGCAAGGUUGAAACUCAAGGGAAUUGACGGGGACCCGCACAAGCGGUGGAUGAUGUGGUUUAAUUCGACGCAACGCGAAAAACCUUACCUACCCUUGACAUGUCUGGAAUCCCGAAGAGAUUUGGGAGUGCUCGAAAGAGAACCAGAACACAGGUGCUGCAUGGCCGUCGUCAGCUCGUGUCGUGAGAUGUUGGGUUAAGUCCCGCAACGAGCGCAACCCUUGUCAUUAGUUGCUACGUAAGGGCACUCUAAUGAGACUGCCGGUGACAAACCGGAGGAAGGUGGGGAUGACGUCAGGUCAUCAUGGCCCUUAUGGGUAGGGCUACACACGUCAUACAAUGGACGGUACAGAGGGCUGCCAACCCGCGAGGGGAAGCCAAUCCCAGAAAACCGUUCGUAGUCCGGAUCGCAGUCUGCAACUCGACUGCGUGAAGUCGGAAUCGCUAGUAAUCGCGGAUCAGCUUGCCGCGGUGAAUACGUUCCCGGGUCUUGUACACACCGCCCGUCACACCAUGGGAGCGGGUUCUGCCAGAAGUAGUUAGCCUAACCGCAA